GCUCCCAUCGUCCAGUGGUCAGGACGCUCGGCCUUCAACCAGGAAACGCCGGUUCAAUUCCGGCUGGAAGUACCA
rnacentral:tRNA from 1 species